rnacentral:rRNA from 1 species
CACAGCUUGUACAGGAUAGGUAGGAGCCUUUGAAACGUGAGCGCUAGCUUACGUGGAGGCGCUGGUGGGAUACUACCCUAGCUGUGUUGGCUUUCUAACCCGCACCACUUAUCGUGGUGGGAGACAGUGUCAGGCGGGCAGUUUGACUGGGGCGGUCGCCUCCUAAAAGGUAACGGAGGCGCUCAAAGGUUCCCUCAGAAUGGUUGGAAAUCAUUCAUAGAGUGUAAAGGCAUAAGGGAGCUUGACUGCGAGACCUACAAGUCGAG